GCCUGGGUGGCUCAGUCGGUUGAGUGUCUGACUUCAGCUCAGGUCACGAUCUCACGGUCCGUGAGUUCGAGCCCCGCAUCGGGCU
rnacentral:tRNA from 1 species